rnacentral:rRNA from 1 species
CCUACGGGCGGCAGCAGUGAGGAAUAUUGGUCAAUGGGCGCGAGCCUGAACCAGCCAAGUCGCGUGAGGGAAGACGGUCCUACGGAUUGUAAACCUCUUUUGCCGGGGAGCAACGGGGUCCUUGCGAGGGCCCAAUGAGAGUACCCGGAGAAAAAGCAUCGGCUAACUCCGUGCCAGCAGCCGCGGUAAUACGGAGGAUGCGAGCGUUAUCCGGAUUUAUUGGGUUUAAAGGGUGCGUAGGCGGGCUGUUAAGUCAGCGGUCAAAUGUCGGGGCUCAACCCCGGCCUGCCGUUGAAACUGGCGCCCUUGAGUGGGAGAGAAGUAUGCGGAAUGCGUGGUGUAGCGGUGAAAUGCAUAGAUAUCACGCAGAACCCCGAUUGCGAAGGCAGCAUGCCGGCGCCCUACUGACGCUGAGGCACGAAAGCGUGGGGAUCGAACAGGAUUAGAUACCCGAGUAGUC